AUUGAACGCUGGCGGCAUGCCUUACACAUGCAAGUCGAACGGUAACGCGGGGCAACCUGGCGACGAGUGGCGAACGGGUGAGUAAUGCAUCGGAACGUGCACAGUAGUGGGGGAUAACUGCUCGAAAGAGCAGCUAAUACCGCAUACGACCUGAGGGUGAAAGCGGGGGAUCGCAAGACCUCGCGCUAUUGGAGCGGCUGAUGUCAGAUUAGGUAGUUGGUGGGGUAAAGGCCCACCAAGCCAACGAUCUGUAGCUGGUCUGAGAGGACGACCAGCAACACUGGGACUGAGACACGGCCCAGGCUCCUACGGGAGGCAGCAGUGGGGAAUUUUGGACAAUGGACGCAAGUCUGAUCCAGCCAUGCCGCGUGCGGGAAGAAGGCCUUCGGGUUGUAAACCGCUUUUGUCAGGGAAGAAACGCUCUGGGUUAAUACCUCGGGGUAAUGACGGUACCUGAAGAAUAAGCACCGGCUAACUACGUGCCAGCAGCCGCCGUAACAC
rnacentral:rRNA from 1 species